rnacentral:rRNA from 1 species
AUUGAACGCUGGCGGCAUGCCUUACACAUGCAAGUCGAACGGCAGCACGGGAGCAAUCCUGGUGGCGAGUGGCGAACGGGUGAGUAAUAUAUCGGAACGUGCCCAGUCGUGGGGGAUAACGUAGCGAAAGCUACGCUAAUACCGCAUACGAUCUAUGGAUGAAAGCGGGGGAUCGCAAGACCUCGCGCGAUUGGAGCGGCCGAUAUCAGAUUAGGUAGUUGGUGGGGUAAAGCCUACCAAGCCUUCGAUCUGUAGCUGGUCUGAGAGGACGACCAGCCACACUGGAACUGAGACACGGUCCAGACUCCUACGGGAGGCAGCAGUGGGGAAUUUUGGACAAUGGGCGCAAGCCUGAUCCAGCAAUGCCGCGUGCA